UACGUAGGGUGCAAGCGUUAUCCGGAAUCACUGGGCGUAAAGCGUGCGUAGGUGGCGUGUUAAGUGUGAUGUUAAAUCGUGGGGCUCAACCCUGUCGGUGCAUCACAUACUGGCAUGCUAGAGGACAGCAGAGGCAAGUGGAAUUGGUAGUGUAGCAGUGAAAUGCGUAGAUAUUACCAGGAACACCAAUGGCGAAGGCAGCUUGCUGGGCUACUCCUGACACUGAGGUACGAAAGCGUGGGGAGCGAACAGG
rnacentral:rRNA from 1 species